rnacentral:rRNA from 1 species
CAGCAGCCGCGGGAAUACGAAGGGGGCUAGCGUUGUCCGGAUUUACUGGGCGUAAAGCGCACGUAGGCGGAUUGGUAAGUUAGGGGUGAAAUCCUGGAGCUCAACUCCAGAACUGCCUUUAAUACUGCCAGUCUCGAGUCCGGAAGAGGUAAGUGGAACUCCUAGUGUAGAGGUGGAAUUCGUAGAUAUUAGGAAGAACACCAGUGGCGAAGGCGGCUUACUGGUCCGGUACUGACGCUGAGGUGCGAAAGCUAGGGGAGCAAAUGGGAUUAGAGACCCCUGUAGUCCCUGUCUCUUAUAU